UAAUCCCCAGGUCACUAGGGCUGUUCUGCAAUCUCACAAAGGAGUAGAUUUGGAUGUGACAUAUCCGUUCCAGUCAACUCAGCCACCUCCUGACUUGUUACGGAAAAACCUCUCCAAUGAUGUAACUUCACCGUAAUGAAGACUUUGUCUCCUUUCUUCCCUUAAAAGCUAUUUAUCUAAAGAAGCAUUGGGAGAAGCCAUCCGACUGGAGCGCUAGUUUUUGCAUCUCUUCUGCUGAAUGGCCACAUUGGUGUAACCCUUUCUCCAAAAUAACUCUAUUGAGAAAUGGAACCAGGAAACGCAUUUUGGGAACCAGCAUGGUGUAGCGGCUGAACCUACGCAGGCUCCACAAUGCAGUUUCUCUCAUUCCGAUGUGAAAACACUUACUUUCGAUGCCCGAGGGCUUUAAGGUUGUCACAGAGGAAACGGCGGAGCCACAGCGAGUGUAAUCUCAAGAUAAUGUGUGCAUCACAAGGAACGGCUGGAGAUGGCACAACAAGGAAGGCUGCCUCCCCUGCAGGUUGGUCAGAGGGCAACCGACAGCAGCAAGAUGCCCAAGGGAAGAUUCCCUGAGUGAGAGAUAGCAAGGGAAAACUCAGCAUGACAACUGGCGAUCUCUCUUCUUGAAGUUUACAGGUGAAAGAGAAGGGGAACGGUGACCUAUAGACUUCCUGAACGGAAAGAUAAAUCUCAAGGAAGUCCCACAGAAAAAAAGAAUCCCACCCACAGAAGAAGAAAUGUCAGCAGGACGCAACUUCUCUUGUGAGUAUUCAGUGGGAUUUCCUUAAUAAAUUGCAUCCAGGCUGCUUGUUAUAAGCUAAAGGGCCAUGCUCCAUGCUAAAGAAGACACUGUGAGGCAUAUCUUGGGAGUGACUUGCUAGACAUAAAUCUGUUGUUGGUUUGCUAGGCAUAAAUCUGUCCAACUGCAACAAGAGAAUCUUUCUGGCCUCUCCUCAACAUACACUUCCUAGUAACUUGGGGUCUUUGGUUAUUUUAUUACUACAGCUUCCAGUUGCACAAUUAUCGAUGGCCUUUCUUCAGA